GUACUUCCUUCGGUAGUACAUAUACUAAAAGUGGAACGAUACAGAGAAGUGUAUCAUGGCCUGGCCCCUGCACACGGAUGACACGCAAAAUCGUUGAAGUGUUCCAUUGAAUA